UUUACGAGAGGCAGCAGUGGGGAAUUUUCGCGCAAUGGGAAAAAGCCUGACGGAGCAAUACCGCGUGAGGGAAGAAGGCCUGGUGGUUGUACACCGCUUUCCGGAGGGAAGAAAAUGACGGUACCUCCAGAAGAAGCAGCGGCCAACUACGUGCCAGCAGCCGCGGUAAU
rnacentral:rRNA from 1 species